CAGCAGCCGCGGUAAUACGUAGGUGGCAAGCGUUGUCCGGAAUUAUUGGGCGUAAAGGGCUCGCAGGCGGUUUCUUAAGUCUGAUGUGAAAGCCCCCGGCUCAACCGGGGAGGGUCAUUGGAAACUGGGAAACUUGAGUGCAGAAGAGGAGAGUGGAGUUCCACGUGUAGCGGUGAAAUGCGUAGAGAUGUGGAGGAACACCAGUGGCGAAGGCGACUCUCUGGUCUGUAACUGACGCUGAGGAGCGGAAGCGUGGGGAGCGAACAGGAUUAGAUACCCCCGUAGUCCCUGUCUCUUAUAC
rnacentral:rRNA from 1 species